AACGAACGCUGGCGGCAUGCCUAACACAUGCAAGUCGAACGAGACCUUCGGGUCUAGUGGCGCACGGGUGCGUAACGCGUGGGAAUCUGCCCUUGGGUUCGGACUAAUAGAUGGAAACGACUGCUCAUACCGGAUGAUGACGUAAGUCCAAAGAUUUGUCGCCCAGGGAUGAGCCCGCGUAGGAUUAGCUAGUUGGUGGGGUAAAGGCCUACCAAGGCGACGAUCCUUAGCUGGUCUGAGAGGAUGAUCAGCCACACUGGGACUAGGACACGGUCCAGACUCCUACGGGAGGCAGGCGUGGGGAAUAUAGCACUGUGGGGGGAAUGCUGAUGCAGCAAGGCCUGGUGAGUGAUGAUGGCCGUAGAGUUAAAAAGCUCUUUAAUACUGGAUGAUAAUGACGGUACCGGAAGAAUAAGCCCCGGCUAACUACGUG
rnacentral:rRNA from 1 species